CAGUAGCCGCGGGAAUACGGAGGGUGCAAGCGUUAAUCGGAAUUACUGGGCGUAAAGCGCACGCAGGCGGUCUGACAAGUCAGAUGUGAAAUCCCCGGGCUUAACCUGGGAACUGCAAUUGAAACUGUCAGGCUGGAGUCUUGUAGAGGGGGGUGGAAUUCCAGGUGUAGCGGUGAAAUGCGUAGAGAUCUGGAGGAAUACCGGUGGCGAAGGCGGCCCCCUGGACAAAGACUGACGCUCAGGUGCGAAAGCGUGGGGAGCAAACAGGAUUAGAUACCCGGGUAGUCCCUGUCUCUUAUAC
rnacentral:rRNA from 1 species